rnacentral:rRNA from 1 species
UACGUAGGCAGCGAGCGUUGUUCGGAGUUACUGGGCGUAAAGGGUGUGUAGGCGGUUCUCUAAGUUUGGUGUGAAAUCUCCCGGCUCAACUGGGAGGGUGCGCCGAAAACUGGAGGGCUAGAGUACGGGAUGGGAGAGUAGAAUUCCUGGUGUAGCGGUGAAAUGCGUAGAUAUCAGGAGGAAUACCGGUGGUGUAGGCGGCUCUCUGGACCGUAACUGACGCUGAGACACGAAAGCGUGGGUAGCAAACAGG